rnacentral:rRNA from 1 species
GAUGAACGCUAGCGGCGGGCAUAAUACAUGCAAGUCGAACGGGAUAAGUUGUAGCAAUACGACUUUGAGAGUGGCGCACGGGUGCGUAACACGUAUGCAACUUGCCCUUAACAGGGGGAUAGCUUUCGGAAACGAAAAUUAAUACCCCAUAUUAUUACUUAUAUGCAUGUAUGAGUAAUGAAAGCUCCGGCGGUUAAGGAUGGGAAUGCGGCUGAUUAGCUAGUUGGCGAGGUAAAGGCUCACCAAGGCGACGAUCAGUAGGGGGUCUGAGAGGAUGUCCCCCCACACUGGUACUGAGACACGGACCAGACUCCUACGGGAGGCAGCAGUAGGGAAUAUUGGUCAAUGGAGGCAACUCUGAACCAGCCACGCCGCGUGCAGGAUGAAGGCCCUCUGGGUUGUAAACUGCUUUUGUUAGGGAAAAAACCCCUCGAUGCGCUGAGGGUUGAUGGUACCUAAAGAAUAAGGAUCGGCUAACUCCGUGCCAGCCGCCGCAGUAAGAC